rnacentral:rRNA from 1 species
GACGAACGCUGGCGGCGUGCUUAACACACGCAAGUCGAGCGGUAAGGCCCUUUCGGGGGUACACGAGCGGCGAACGGGUGAGUAACACGUGGGUGACCUGCCCUCAGCUCUGGGAUAAGCCUGGGAAACCGGGUCUAAUACUGGAUAUGACUCCAUGACGCAUGUUGUGGGGUGGAAAGCCUUGUGCGGCUGAGGAUGGGCCCGCGGCCUAUCAGCUUGUUGGUGGGGUGAUGGCCUACCAAGGCGACGACGGGUAGCCGGCCUGAGAGGGCGACCGGCCACACUGGGACUGAGACACGGCCCAGACUCCUACGGGAGGCAGCAGUGGGGAAUCUUGCGCAAUGGGCGAAAGCCUGACGCAGCGACGCCGCGUGAGGGAUGACGGCCUGUGU